rnacentral:rRNA from 1 species
AAACCUUGAUUCAAGGAAACCCCGGGGGGGGGAAGACGCCCUUCGGGUUUUAAAUCCCUUUCCCCAUCGACGAAGGUUUUUUGACGGUAGAUGGAGAAGAAGCACCGGCUAAAUUACGUGCCAGCAGCCGCGGUAAUACGUAGGGUGCGAGCGUUGUCCGGAAUUACUGGGCGUAAAGAGCUCGUAGGUGGUUUGUCGCGUCGUCUGUGAAAUUCCGGGGCUUAACUCCGGGCGUGCAGGCGAUACGGGCAUAACUUGAGUACUGUAGGGGAGACUGGAAUUCCUGGUGUAGCGGUGAAAUGCGCAGAUAUCAGGAGGAACACCGGUGGCGAAGGCGGGUCUCUGGGCAGUAACUGACGCUGAGGAGCGAAAGCAUGGGUAGCGAACAGGAUUAGAUACCCUGGUAGUCCAUGCCGUAAACGGUGGGCGCUAGGUGUAGGGGUCUUCCACGACUUCUGUGCCGUAGCUAACGCAUUAAGCGCCCCGCCUGGGGAGUACGGCCGCAAGGCUAAAACUCAAAGGAAUUGACGGGGGCCCGCACAAGCGGCGGAGCAUGUGGAUUAAUUCGAUGCAACGCGAAGAACCUUACCUGGGCUUGACAUAUACGGGACCGGGCCAGAGAUGGUCCUUCCCUUGUGGCUCGUAUACAGGUGGUGCAUGGUUGUCGUCAGCUCGUGUCGUGAGAUGUUGGGUUAAGUCCCGCAACGAGCGCAACCCUUGUCUUAUGUUGCCAGCACGUAAUGGUGGGGACUCGUGAGAAACUGCCGGGGUCAACUCGGAGGAAGGUGGGGAUGACGUCAAAUCAUCAUGCCCCUUAUGUCCAGGGCUUCACACAUGCUACAAUGGUCGGUACAGUGGGUUGCGAUGCCGUGAGGUGGAGCUAAUCCCUGAAAGCCGGUCUCAGUUCGGAUCGGGGUCUGCAACUCGACCCCGUGAAGUCGGAGUCGCUAGUAAUCGCAGAUCAGCAACGCUGCGGUGAAUACGUUCCCGGGCCUUGUACACACCGCCCGUCACGUCAUGAAAGUCGGUAACACCCGAAGCCAGUGGCCCAACCCUUGUGGGGGAGCUGUCGAAGGUGGAUCGCAGGCAAAUAAAAAAAAAGGGGCC